rnacentral:rRNA from 1 species
CAUGCAAGUCGGACGGCAGCACAGAGAAGCUUGCUUCUUGGGUGGCGAGUGGCGAACGGGUGAGUAAUAUAUCGGAACGUACCGAGCAGUGGGGGAUAACUAAUCGAAAGAUUAGCUAAUACCGCAUAUUUUCUGAGGAAGAAAGCAGGGGGCCAUUUGGCCUUGCGCUGUUUGAGCGGCCGAUAUCUGAUUAGCUGGUUGGUGGGGUAAAGGCCUACCAAGGCGACGAUCAGUAGCGGGUCUGAGAGGAUGAUCCGCCACACUGGGACUGAGACACGGCCCAGACUCCUACGGGAGGCAGCAGUGGGGAAUUUUGGACAAUGGGCGCAAGCCUGAUCCAGCCAUGCCGCGUGUCUGAAGAAGGCCUUCGGGUUGUAAAGGACUUUUGUCAGGGAAGAAAAGGAUAGGGUUAAUACCCCUGUCUGAUGACGGUACCUGAAGAAUAAGCACCGGCUAACUACGUGCCAGCAGCCGCGGCAAUACGUAGGGUGCGAGCGUUAAUCGGAAUUACUGGGCGUAAAGCGGGCGCAGACGGUUACUUAAGCAGGAUGUGAAAUCCCCGGGCUCAACCUGGGAACUGCGUUCUGAACUGGGUGACUAGAGUGUGUCAGAGGGAGGUAGAAUUCCACGUGUAGCAGUGAAAUGUGUAGAGAUGUGGAGGUAUACCGAUCGGCGAAGGCAGCCUCCUGGGA